GACGAACGCUGGCGGCGUGCUUAACACAUGCAAGUCGAACGGAAAGGCCCUGCUUUUGUGGGGUGCUCGAGUGGCGAACGGGUGAGUAACACGUGAGUAACCUGCCCUUGACUUUGGGAUAACUUCAGGAAACUGGGGCUAAUACCGGAUAGGAGCUCCUGCUGCAUGGUGGGGGUUGGAAAGUUUCGGCGGUUGGGGAUGGACUCGCGGCUUAUCAGCUUGUUGGUGGGGUAGUGGCUUACCAAGGCUUUGACGGGUAGCCGGCCUGAGAGGGUGACCGGCCACAUUGGGACUGAGAUACGGCCCAGACUCCUACGGGAGGCAGCAGUGGGGAAUAUUGCACAAGGGGCGGAAGCCAGAUGCAGCAACGCCGCGUGCGGGAUGACGGCCUUCGGGUUGUAAACCGCUUUCGCCUGUGACGAAGCGUGAGUGACGGUAAUGGGGAAAGAAGCACCGGCUAACUACGU
rnacentral:rRNA from 1 species